rnacentral:lncRNA from 1 species
AAACUCCACUUUAAAAAUAAUCAAUGUGUUCAAGUAUGCAUGUUUUUUUUUUCCAGGUCCAAUCACAAAGACCAACAGAACUCAAUAUAACAUCUCAGCCGAAACAUAUUUUUGGCAUUAGCACAUCAUCAAUAAUUGGUUCAAUCAUCCAUGACUACAUCCGCCUGAUCCCCGGUAUUGCCAACGACGAGGAGAGCAUGGCGGAGAACACUGAGCUUUAUGACAACGGGCUGAAACUUGAGCUGCUCGACCACUACGAGAGGAUGACUACAAAGAAGAGGAUGAGUUCGGAAUCCAUGCAGCAGUGGCUGACAGGAGCUGCUUUUCACUUGCACAUGAGGAUCCACCAGGUCCGACUUCACUCUGUGCCAUUAGGAUCUGUUCAAUCUCUGCGGUUGUCCUAUAAAACAGGUUGGAAUCGCCUGGUCCAAGGUUACACAGCAUAUCUACACAGAAACAUUCAGGAAACUGAAGCUCCUGAACCAUCCAGUGCUUCCAUCAUUAAAAACUCAACCAGUUUCAACACUUUUCUCUUUCAAUUUAGUCAAUCUGCUAACUUCCCUAAACUCAAACACCCCAACUCAACAGACAAAUGUUGCAAAACAGGCGGAACCAGUGAAGACUUAGUACUUAAAGAAACAAAGGCAGCCAAUGAAAGCAGUGUAAUUAGGAUAAACACAAAUAAACACAACUUCACUGAUCACAGCCUUGCAGUAGAAGAAGAAGACAAACUUGGACUGUUGGUCAUUGAGCCAUUAAGGAAUAUGAGUCACAAUGUCCAUCAUCAUCCCUGUGAGUCAGUGGCCAUUCAGCAAUCUCUGGUUACCCGGAUUAUAAACUCCAUGGACCUGGAAAGGAGUCGAAACUUUUUCCUUUACCCAGAGAAAGUUUUCCUCCGUCUGAUUAGGCAGAGGUCCGACUUUAUGGUGACGACUGUCUGACCACUGACAUGACACAGUAGUCUGAAACAGCAGAAUUUCCCCAAAUGUAUUUACUCUUGGAUGCUCUCACUUUUAGAAUCUUCUCCCCUUAGGGCAUUUCUGUUAAUUAAGGAUUGCUUUGAUUAUCUCACCUUGGUUUUUAGCUUAAAUUAAUUUUGCUUUCUGUUUUCUUUUUGUCCAACUAAUUCUAAUGACACAACACUUUGGUUGAAAAAUUAUUAUCAUUUAAAGCUUUGAGCUAUCCUAAUUGUGUUUUGUGUUUACUUUAGUUAUUUUUCUAAAAUAAAAUAAUAAUAAAAACAACA